GGAGGAAAGUAGGGGAUCGCAAGACCUCGCGCUAUUAGAGUGGCCGAUGUCCGAUUAGCUAGUUGGUGGGGUAAAGGCCUACCAAGGCGACGAUCGGUAGCUGGUCUGAGAGGAUGAUCAGCCACACUGGGACUGAGACACGGCCCAGACUCCUACGGGAGGCAGCAGUGGGGAAUUUUGGACAAUGGGCGAAAGCCUGAUCCAGCCAUGCCGCGUGCGGGAAGAAGGCCUUCGGGUUGUAAACCGCUUUAGUCCGGGAAAAAGGGGUGCGAGGAUAAUACCCUUGUGCUUUGAUGGUACUGGAAGAAUAAGCACCGGCUAACUACGUGCCAGCAGCCGCGGUAAUACGUAGGGUGCGAGCGUUAAUCGGAAUUACUGGGCGUAAAGCGUGCGUAGGCGGUCUUGUAAGACAGUCGUGAAAGCCCCGGGCUUAACCUGGGAACUGCGUUUGAAACUACAAAGCUAG
rnacentral:rRNA from 1 species